rnacentral:lncRNA from 1 species
UCAGCAAAUGGCAUGUAUGUUGGAAUGAGAUACAAACACAACAAUUAUGCCUAUAUAUAAUGCAGGGCUGUAUGGGUGUGUAUAUAUGCCUUAUUAUAAAAAAGGUGAACUUUUUGUUAACCAUUAUUUUUUUCCAUCUUUGUAUCCAGAUUUCACUUAGCGGAAAAAUGAGAGGACUUAGUGCUCUUACUGUCAUUUCAGAAAAACAUCGAUGUUGGGAGAACGGUGACUGAGGAAUGUGAGUUGAAAAAAACUCCUCUGUUUACCCAGGGAGCAGGGACGUAAACACCAACUGCUUUUGUUUCUCUGUGCAAGUCCAUCUGAUUCACUAAAAUUUGUGUACUUAUUUUACAGGACUGCACUUGACCCCUCCCUCGUAUCUGAGGUGAAGCCAUUCACCACCACUAUCUCACUUUCAUCUCUAGCAUCAUUUUUCAUCCUGUCUUGUUAUUAAUAGCAUUCUUGGCUGGCCUUCUGAAUUAGUCUUCGCUGUGAUACUAUCAAAAGUUUUCUCCGUUUUUCUUCGUGCAAUUGUGUCUGUGAUUUAGCUGUUCAUUUGUGCUGCUAUUGUAAGGAGAAAAAGUGAAUUGAGGGUCCUGAUUCUGCAUCUAGGGCACACAAGCAGGGCCCUGAGCUUCCAUGUAGCUGCUUUGAAGACAAACAAGAAAAGACAGUGAACGUCCAAAAAAGCUCACAGGAACCGCUAUAACUAAGUGAGAAGACGCUCUUACUUUGUGUGGCCAAACUUCAGAGAAUUCUUAAGGAAUGAUGCAACCAAGCACCGGCAGGCACCUUCUCAGCUGGCGAGUGCCGAGAGGGCCAGCGAGGAACGGCCCCGAAUGGGAGCUGGAASUGAAGGGCGCCAAGUUACUCCCACCGCUUCACAGGGUGGCCAGACCCUACGGGGGUCCAAAGAGAUGCAGCGAAAGCUCUGUGUUUGGUCGCCUUCUACCACAUAGCUUCCUCUCCGCCUUCUUGACGUUCAUUCAGCUUACUGGGGCCCAGACGUGUCCAUACUACCAUCCAUGUGCAGCGUUUUCCAGCUGUUCUAUUUUUGUUGUGGUGGUUUCAUUUCCCUGAGCUCAAUGCUCUUCUGCCUUUUGAGGGUUAACUCAGACACCAUGCAGACAUUUACUGAUGAUGGACUCCCCCCACCCCGCCUCCACUAGAAGCCUUUGAACUCCACUCAUGUCUGCAAUCCUCCUUCCAUUACAGAGUAAUGUCAAGAUCUCUGCAAAGACUGUGGCCUGUUUAAUGUCUGAUUUGUCACCUAGUUAAAUCCUACUGUUUGACAUUUAGAAUUAUCUCUAAUAGCUUUACC